GAGUGAACGCUGGCGGUAGGCCUAACACAUGCAAGUCGAACGGCAGCACAGGAGAGCUUGCUCUCUGGGUGGCGAGUGGCGGACGGGUGAGGAAUGCAUCGGAAUCUACUCUUUCGUGGGGGAUAACGUAGGGAAACUUACGCUAAUACCGCAUACGACCUACGGGUGAAAGCCGGGGACCUUCGGGCCUGGCGCGAAUGAAUGAGCCGAUGCCCGAUUAGCUAGUUGGCGGGGUAAGAGCCCACCAAGGCGACGAUCGGUAGCUGGUCUGAGAGGAUGAUCAGCCACACUGGAACUGAGACACGGUCCAGACUCCUACGGGAGGCAGCAGUGGGGAAUAUUGGACAAUGGGCGCAAGCCUGAUCCAGCCAUACCGCGUGGGUGAAGAAGGCCUUCGGGUUGUAAAGCCCUUUUGUUGGAAAAGAAAAGCAGCUGGUUAAUACCCGGUUGUCNUGACGGUA
rnacentral:rRNA from 1 species